rnacentral:rRNA from 1 species
GGACCCGCACAAGUAGUGGAGCAUGUGGUUUAAUUCGAAGAUACGCGCAGAACCUUACCAACACUUGACAUGUUCGUCGCGACUUUAAGAGAUUAAAGUUUUCGGUUCGGCCGGACGAAACACAGGUGCUGCAUGGCUGUCGUCAGCUCGUGUCGUGAGAUGUUGGUUAAGUCCCGCAACGAGCGCAACCCUCACUUUUAGUUGCCAUCAUUAAGUUGGGCACUCUGAAAGAACUGCCAGUGAUAAGCUGGAGGAAGGUGGGGAUGACGUCAAGUCCUCAUGGCCCUUACGUGUUGGGCUACACACGUGCUACAAUGGUAUCUACAACAGGAAGUCGGAAUCGCUAGUAAUCGCG